CCAACUUAUUGUCACUUUUGAAUGAUCCAAAUUGGCCCAACUGAAAUGACACGAUUGUGAAAUAAAAACUGUGACAAUUGUGCUCACUUCCAUGUUUCAGGACAAAAAAAAAUCAAAAGAAGAAGCCUUGAAACGUUUGCAUCUAGAGAGAAGCUUCACUGCAUGAUGGGCUGGGUUUAAACAGAGAGAUGGUUCAUUAAUGGAUUCUGGGGAGGACCAGUAUCACCUGCAAUAUGUGGGUUUACAGUCUCGGUCACUUGCUUGUUAGAGAGACGAAAACUAUAUUGAUUUAUUGUGUAAUGAUAUCGAAAAUUACUUAGUAUGAUGCGUCAGUGAUAACAGUCAUAUUGACUCAUUGAAAGCAAAUAAGAUCUACUAUGGGCCAUCUAUAAUUACGACAAACUGAUCUGGACCACUCUGUACAGUUGCAGAAAAGUGAAAGCAUACUUGACUAUUUUCCUAUUACAGAAUUAAAAAUAGGAGUGCAUUUAUUUCUCACGCUUUGAGGUUGCUGACUGCAUUACUUAAAUAAUAAAAAAUUGUUUGGCGGAA